GAUGAACGCUGGCGGCGUGCCUAAUACAUGCAAGUAGAACGCUGAAGGAGGAGCUUGCUUCUCUGGAUGAGUUGCGAACGGGUGAGUAACGCGUAGGUAACCUGCCUGGUAGCGGGGGAUAACUAUCGGAAACGAUAGCUAAUACCGCAUAAGAGCAGUUGUUGCAUGACAGCUGUUUAAAAGGUGCAAUUGCACCACUACCAGAUGGACCUGCGUUGUAUUAGCUAGUUGGUGAGGUAACGGCUCACCAAGGCGACGAUACAUAGCCGACCUGAGAGGGUGAUCGGCCACACUGGGACUGAGACACGGCCCAGACUCCUACGGGAGGCAGCAGUAGGGAAUCUUCGGCAAUGGGGGCAACCCUGACCGAGCAACGCCGCGUGAGUGAAGAAGGUUUUCGGAUCGUAAAGCUCUGUUGUAAGAGAAGAACGAGUGUGAGAGUGGAAAGUUCACACUGUGACGGUAUCUUACCAGAAAGGGACGGCUAACUACGUGCCAGCAGCCGCGGUAAUACGUAGGUCCCGAGCGUUAUCCGGAUUUAUUGGGCGUAAAGCGAGCGCAGGCGGUUAGAUAAGUCUGAAGUUAAAGGCUGUGGCUUAACCAUAGUACGCUUUGGAAACUGUUUAACUUGAGUGCAAGAGGGGAGAGUGGAAUUCCAUGUGUAGCGGUGAAAUGCGUAGAUAUAUGGAGGAACACCGGUGGCGAAAGCGGCUCUCUGGCUUGUAACUGACGCUGAGGCUCGAAAGCGUGGGGAGCAAACAGG
rnacentral:rRNA from 1 species